CACGUAGGGGGCGAGCGUUGUCCGGAUUUAUUGGGCGUAAAGCGCGUGUAGGCGGCAUGGCAAGUCGGGUGUGAAAGCCCUCAGCUUAACUGAGGAAGUGCGCCCGAAACUGCCGUGCUUGAGUGCCGGAGAGGGUGGCGGAAUUCCCCAAGUAGAGGUGAAAUUCGUAGAUAUGGGGAGGAACACCGGUGGGCGAAGGCG
rnacentral:rRNA from 1 species